GCAGCAGGUCGAAAUGGCAGAGAAAUUUUUGAUGCUAAUUUAUCCGGUGUUAUCUCGUUAAUCCUUUGCCCAAAUCAUUUUAAUCUCUACGAAUGGUAACUUCAGGACUCAUCAAACUUGUGGAGAGAAACAGUUUGCUUUUAGAUGUCCGUCUGGCGUGUCUUCUCGUUGUCAACGGGACAGAGACGAUGCACACCACAUUCAAUGUCGCGACGGCUCUUGACCGAGAUGACAGUUAAACCGAAGGUCGUCGCUCAUUACUGAUGAUAAUCUGCAGAAGUAUGAUGUCACCAUCGCCACUGUCGUGUUCGCAGUAGCUCCCGAGGCAUCGGAGUGGUGCGCCAUCAAUAGAACCCGAGAGCAUGAUGCCCAACGGAAACGGUCAAGAAUGUAUGUCAUGUGCUAAACAUUGGAGAUGUUUAUACGAGAACGUAACCACCUGACCGUCUUCUAUCGUGGCACCAGCUGGAAUACGACGCCCGGCUCCUGAUAUCCAUUGACAUUCUUUAUGAUCGUAGGAUGAGCUGUUUUGAGAGCUUGCCAAUAAACAAAGAACAUAUCGUUUCAUGAAAGUCCAUUGUUCGUCUGUGUAUUGAGGAGAAAUGCAUGGACAGACAGGUAAUGAACAAGUGAAUUGUUCUUCGAUUCUCUACGGAUUGGUGCUAUUGUGUUUUGAUGCAUAGAAAGAAAGAACAAAGAAAAACAUUGAUAACUGUUUGUUGUUCUGUAAAUAAACAAACAACAUUGUAAUUGUGUUUAGCUAAUGCAAAGCAUGUGAGGUGUUUUGAGAGCUUGAUGUUGAUUGCCAAUAAACAAACAACAUAUUAGUUUAUAAAAGUCCAUUGUUCUUCUGUGUAUUGAGGAGAAAUGCACGGACAGA